rfam:Nippostrongylus brasiliensis genome assembly, scaffold: NBR_scaffold0002605
ACAUCGGUAGCACAGUGGUUAGUGCAGUCUGCCGGAAACAAAAAGACGCGGGUUCAAUUCCCGUCCGAUGUC